GACGAAGGGGGCUAGCGUUGUUCGGAAUUACUGGGCGUAAAGCGCGUGUAGGCGGUUAUCCAAGUCAGGUGUGAAAGCCUUGAGCUCAACUCAAGAAAUGCACUUGGUACUGGGUGACUAGAGGACCGGAGAGGAUAGUGGAAUUCCCAGUGUAGUGGUGAAAUACGUAGAGAUUGGGAAGAACACCAGUGGCGAAAGCGGCUUCCUGGUCCAGCACCGACGUUCAGGCACGAAAGCGUGGGGAGCAAACAGG
rnacentral:rRNA from 1 species